rnacentral:lncRNA from 1 species
UAUUGAUUUUUCUGUCUCAGUUUGUGUGCAGCCUCUUAGGAGAACCAUAUAGUAGAAUUUUCCACUAUGACUAUCCUAAAUGAAAGUCAUGGUAAGUAUGUGAGUUUCUGUUUCACGGUGGUCCUAAGGAGUGGGCGCUUAGAUCAAGUGAUGUUCAAAAUGCAGGCCAGGAAGCAUCUGGUGAACCAUGUAGUAGCAACCAGAAAACAAGUCAGUGCUGUUUACUGCUGUUAAUUUUGUAAUAGACUCGUGGAGAUCUGAGAGUCCUUGCAUAAGAUUUAAGGGAAAAAGAGGACUUUUAGGUCUGUGUGGACCUGAAAGUAGACUUCCAUGAACCUUGGAUGGCAGCCUUAGACCUUGUCUGGAGGUGGGGAAUGAGAGGGAGAGAGUGUACUGCCCACUAUCCUGGAAGGCCUUCUCCUCACACAUUGAAGACUCCAAUCUGGCUUGGUGAUUUGAUGGUGACCGAGGCAACUGAUGUUGUAGGGCUUUCAUGGAAGGCUCCGCUGUGUGUGUGUGACAACUUAGGAAUAGUGGACUUUGCAAUGCUCUUGGGAAAAAAAAUAGGUUCUCAUCUGGAAUUUGCUUCUGUUUUCAUCAGAGAGUUGAUCUUUUAAAAAAUAUUUAUUUUUUAGUUUUAGGUGGACACUAUAUUUUUAUUUUUAUGUGGUGCUGAGAAUUGAACACAGUACCUCAUGCAUGCUAGGCGAGCACUCUACCACUGAGCCACAACCCCAGCUCCCCUGAGAGUUGAUCUUAAAGUUAUAAAUAUGGCCUGAAUACCCUCUGACUUUUAUUUCCAGCAAGAAGAAUAAAAUCUCAGGGAAAAGAUUACAAAUGGAGGAAACAAUUCCCUUGAUAAAAUGGAUAGAAAUUCAUUUACAUAUGAUUUUUGACUAUCAGACAUUGAAGCCCAUGAGAACCCCUGGAAAGAUAUUGCAAAGAUAUUGCGGUCAGCCAAAAAAAUACUUGCCUGAGAAAUACUUGUUCCUCUUAAUGGGAAAUGAAGAUUAAUCCCAACUGGGCAUCAAACAUCAGCCAAGUGCUCAGUAAGUAUUGAGACAGAAAAUAUUGCAGGUUUUUAAUCAAAGUUCUUACUGGAUCACAGUGAUGUUCCAGGUUAGCUCAACAUAAAGGUUUCAAUCCAAGGUGAAGAGCCUUUAACGUCUUUUCUACAUUUAGCUUGCUUUAAUUGAAGAGGAGAGCAAAGCCAACAGCUGGUGAGAAUCUGUUCAGCUAUUUUUUUUUCAAUGCAAAGUCAAUUUUGAGCAGUUCUUAUGUCUUUCAAAAGAAAUGGAUUUGGA